GCCAACAUUCAGCCUCCUCUGCCCAUCAGCCUUGCUGACACAGGGAGUGGAGAUUUGUGUAGAGAAAUGACUCAUUCAAAUAUGACUUAAUCUAAACCGUAAGUGUAUGAUUUAUUAAUGUGCCACCAGGCCUUACACCAAGAGAGCCAUUCCAGAGAAAAGUCCUUUUUCUCCUGAGAACAGUGCCAGCAGCUGGCUUCGUGACAUUCUGGAAGCCCCGUGCAAUGCUGUCAGGAGCAUAGGGAUUUUACUUUAUCUCCCUUGCUUAUGCUCCACAUAACUGAAAUAUCUCACUGGAAGCUGCAGCAGUGCUGGCCCCUUGCACAGCCAUAUGUGACCACUGCAGAACAAUCAGUUGGAGAGACAGUUUGGACUACAUGGAGGGUGGAGAUAAGGACAAAGUGAAGAAUACACAGGAACCAGUGCCUCCUCCUGGAACUAUGCAACUCCAAGCUGCUUCCAUCAGCUGCUAGGUCCAGUAGGGAGGGACCUACUGAGAGACAGGAAACGCCACGAAGUGUCUGGAUCAAAGAACAGACUAUUGCUCACAGAGCACCUUCAUAGCAUUGUUCCUCAUGCCCCCGUUGCCCAAGGGGAUGGCAGGUUGAGGACCAGAUGUACUUGCAUGUUCAGGGGAUGCAGCACAGAAGAGGAACUCCAAAAUUAUUAUUAUUAUUGUUAUUAUUAUUAUUUUUGAGAUGGAGUCUCGCUCUGUCGCCCAGCCUGGAGUGCAGUGGCGUGAUCUCGGCUCACUGCAAGCUCCGCCUCCCGGGUUCACGCCAUUCUCCUGCCUCAGCCUCCCGAGUAGCUGGGACUACAGGCACGCACCGCCACGCCCUGUUAAUUUUUUUUGUAUUUUUUUUUAGUAGAGACAGGGUUUCACCGUGUUAGCCAGGAUGGUCUUGAUCUCCUGACCUCGUGAUCCACCCGCCUCGGCCUCCCAAAGUGCUGGGAUUACAGGCGUGAGCCACCGCGCCCGGCCGAACUCCAAAAUUAUUAAACUCUGAGCGUCUGCAGGUGACUGACACAUCUGCGCUUCCUUUCUUCCAGGGUGUGGGGAAGAGCGAGAAAAAGAUUUCCGCUCUGGAAGGUAAACAAAUACUCUCUGGAGAGAGAAGAGGAAUGUCCCUAGCAGAUGUCUCCAGAGAAGACAAGACUUUAAAUUCCGCCAGGGAAAUAUACAAUGUCUAACUUCUAAGGCACAUUUGCCAUUCAAUCAUGCUUUAACCCACGUUGCCAGAAAUUUUUGCUCACUAGGUUUUGACUGUACAGGAAUGUGAAAAUAUUCAUGAAGAGUUGUUUUCCAAUGCUAAAGAAUUGAUGUGUUUUAACAGUUGAAUUAAUUGUAUUGAUUAUGAUCACACCUACUUUUUAUAUAUCUUCAUUUCUAACGUUUCUGUACAAUCCUGCCUUUCCACCUGAUAUAGUUAGGCCUUGUGUCAUCAACCAAAUCUCAUCUUGAAUUGUAAUCGCCAUAAUCCCCACGUAUUUAGGGAGAGACCUGGAGGGAGGUGUUUGGAUCAUGGGGGCGGUUUCCCGCAUGCUGUUCUCAUGACCAUGAGAGUAAGUUCUCAAGAGAUCUGAUGGUUUUAUAAGCGUCUGUCAUUUCCACUGCUUGCACUUCUGUGUCCUGCCACCUUGUGAAGAAGGACGUGGUUGCUUCCCCUUCCACCAUGAUUGUGUUUCCUGAGGCCUCCCCAGCCUUGCAGAGCUGUGAGUCAAUUAAACCUCUUUCCUUUAUAAAUUACUCAGUCUCUGUAUUCCUCUGCAGCAGUGUGAGAACAGACUAAUACAUCACCACUUUAUUUACUUUACUCUCUCCCCAUACCGAGGUUUUCUACAUUUUCUUUCUAGGUCUCUACAGUUUCUGCAAAGAUCCUUUAUGGAACUCUUAGGGAAGCUGGGAUGUAUAAUAAAUAAAGGGCUCUUUUCUUUGAGUCCCACACCCAUUUUCUGUGUAUAAAAAUCUUCAACUCCACUUUUGUCUGUUCUAUUUAAAUGUGUGCACAUUUCCUUCUAAUGUUGUAUAUGAAAAAGAGACACCUCUUAGCAGUCUUUCAUAGAGCAAAAUUUUUUACUUUGAUAAAAUCUAAUUUAUCAAUAUUUUUAAAUUUUAUGGAUCAAUCAUGCUUUUGAGGUUGAAUUUAAGAAUGCUUUGCCUAGCCCUAGAUCCCAAGUAUCUUUUAAAAAUUAUUUUUCUAAAUGCAUUAUUUAUGUUUUACACUUAAGUCUAUAAUCCAUUUUGAGUCCAUGUGUAAGAUUUAGGUUAAGGUCAAGAUUUAUCUGUUUUUGUUGUUUUCUCUAUAAAUGUCAAUUGCUCCAGCACUAUUUGUUUAAAAGCCAAUCUUUCCUCCGCUGAGUUCUUCCUAUAAGUUUGUCAAAAGUCAAUUUGGCAUCUUUGUAUAAGUUUAUUUCUGGAUUCUCUAUUCUGUUUUAUUGAUCACUGCAUCUAUCCCUCUUGAUUAGCUAGAUAAUAAAUCCUACAAUAAGGUAGAAUUCUUCCCACUUUAUUCAUAUUCAAAAUAUUUUAAAGCUAUUCUAGUUUCUUUUUAUUUCCAUAUAUAUUUUAGGAUAAUCUUAUCUAUAUUUACAACAUAUGUUGCUAGGAUUUUGAUAGAAUUUGUUUUAAAUUUGUGUAUCAAUGUAGGGAAGACCUGACAUCUUUACUAUUACGUUGAUCUUCCAAUCAAUGAAUAUGGUAUAUCUCUCAGUUUAUAGCUAUUGUCUUUAAUUUAUUUCAUCAUGGUUUUUAGUUUUCAGCAGAGAAGCUUUAUACAUGUUUUGUUAUACAUGUAUAACAAAAGAAGCCUUAUACACUGACAUUUUAUAUUUUGAACAAUUGUAAAUGGUAUUGUUUAAAAAUUUUGUUGUCUAUGAUAGAAAUAAAAUUGAUUUUUGUAGGUUUAUCUUGUAACCUAUGACUUGCUGAGCUCGCUCAUUAGUUUUUUUAUUGUGAUAAAAUAUACAUGAGAUAAAUUUCAUCAUUAUAAUCAUUAAGUUUAGACAUCAAUUGCAUUAAGUACAUAAAUGCCUUAUGCAACCAUCAUCUCUAUCCAUCUCCAGACCCUUUGCAUCACCCUAAAAUGAAACUCUGUGCCCAUUAAACAAUAACUCCCCAUUCUGCCCUCACCCCAGCCCUUGGUAAUUACCAUCCUACCUUUUAUCUCUAUAAAUUUAACCAUCCCAGGUAACUCAUAUAAGUGGAAUCAUGCAGUGUUUGUCCUUUUGUAACUGGUUUAUUUCACUUAGCAUGAUGUCUUCAAGGUUUGCCUAUGUCAUAGCAUGUGUCAGAAUUUCAUCCCUUUUUAAACUUAAAUAAUAUUCCACUGUAGGCAUAUGCCACAUUUUGUUUAUUUGUUCAUCUGUUGAUGGGCAUUUGGGUUGUUUCCACCUUUUGGCUACUGUGAAUAAUGCUGCUGUGAUCAUGGGUAUGCAACUGUCUCCUGGAGUCCCUGCUAUCAAUUCUUGUGGGUAUAUACCCAGAAGUGGAAUUGUUGCAACAUAUAGUAAUUCUAUGUUUAAUUUUUUGAGGACCUGCCAUAAUGUUUUCCACAGUAGCUACAUUGUCUUAUAUUCCCAUUAAGAGUUCCAAUUUCCUCACAUCUUCACCAAUACUUAUUGUUUUCUGUUUUUUUAAAUAAUAGCCAUCAUAAUAAAAGUAACAUGGUAUCUCAUUGUGGUUUUAACUGCAUUUCCCUUUUUACUGGAUUGUUUGUAAUAUUGCUGUAAUUGAGUUGUAGGAGUUUUUAAAUAUGUUCUGAAUAAUUAAUUUCUUAUCAGAUAUGUCAUUUGCAAAUAUUUUCUGCCAUUCUCUGGGUUGUCAUUUCACUCUCUUGAUAGUGUCCUUUGAUGCACAGAAGUUUUGAAAUUUGAUAAAGUUUAAUUUGCGUAUGUAUUUAUUUUGUUGCUUAUGCUUUUGGUGUCAUAUCCAAGAAAUUAUUGCCAAAUUCAGUGUCAUGAAGAUUUUCCCCUGUGUUUUCCUCUAAGAGUAUUAUAGUUUUAACUCUUGCACUUAGAUUGAUCCGCUUUGAGUUAAUUUUAGUAUAUGGGGUAAGACAAGGGCUCAAAUUUGUUCUUUUGUUUGAAGAUUCUAGGUCAUUUGUGAUCUUUAGGAUUUUCUAUGUAGACAUUAAUGUCAUCUUCAAAUAUGAACAGUUUAUUUCUUCCUUUUGUAUAUGUAUGAAUUUACUUUCCUUUUCUUGCCUUAUUGCACUGGCUAGAGUUUUCAGUACUAUGAUGAAUAAAAUCAGUGAGAGCAGACACCCUUGCUUUGUUUCUAAUCUUAGGAGGAAAGCUUUCAGUCUUUCAUCAUUAGGUAUACUGUUAGUUGUAGGCUUAUUAUAGAUGCUCUUUAUCAGGUUGAGGCAGUUUCCUCCUUGGUUAAGACUUUCUAUUUUUCAUUUUCAGUUAUGACCAGGCAUGUUCAUAACUGCUCAUCAAAACUUUGAAUUAGUGGCUGCUUUAACAUCCUUCUCAGACAAUUCUAACAUCUGUUUUGUUGGUGGUGGCAUCUAUCAAUUGUCUUUUUCAUUCUGUUUGAGAUCUUCCUUGCGUUUGGUAUGAUUUUUUUAAAUAUUAUGUCAUGAAACUGCAUCUUAUUUAAAUCUUCUGUUUUAGUUGGCUAUGUCUGACAUCACUUCCCCAGGGGAAGGUGUUGUUACUGCUAGUGGAGGGUGAGAAUUAUGGCUCUCCACUGACAUUGUGGUGGGAUUGGUCCCAUUACCACUGGGCAGGGUUGAAAGUCCUGACUUUCUGCUAGGCCUUCUCUGACUUCAUCGCAGCAGGAGGAAAAGAUGCCUCUGGAGUUGAAGUCAGGUUGCACUGACACUGUGUGUGUAUGGAGGUAGGCUGGGGUGAAAGUGGAGACUCAUUACCACAUGGUGAGUAGUUUCCAGCUCUCUAUUUGGCCUUCUCUGAUACCACCCAGACAGGGACAUUGGGGAUACCUCAUUACAGCCUAGUGAGGGUCAAACUCUAGGCUCCCCACUCAGUCUUUGCUAUCAUGGACACUGUAGGACCAUAGUUUUUUCUGUGCUGUUUGCUUGAUGUGUCUUCCUUGGACCCUGAGUUCCAUAGCUGGUCUGCAUUCCUCUCUCCACCUUUAAGACGUCUUCUUAUGUUUAUUUCAUAUUUAACAUCCAGGGUGGUAAUUAGAGGGAAGAAUAGAGGGAAAAGUACAGUUGCACUUUGUUGUUCAAAGAGCAGUUUUGAACUGCACAGACCCAUUUCUCUGAGCACACCCAGGGAUGAUUGUACUUGUAUAAAAUUUUUUUCCUGGAUGCAGAAUUCUCAAUUGACUGUGAAAGUUCAUAACAAAGAAAACAGUGGGGAAGACAAAUCUGGAAAUGAGGAAAAUAAAAAUUAAAUAGUGAGACCACCCAUGGAGCUUGUGGCAAAGCCUGAAUUGAAUCCGCUGUAUCUUAAGAUUGUGCCUCAUUCUAAAUUUAAGUCACCCUUCUCAUUAUGAAAGUGUCACAACUUCUCAGUAGGUGAGGAGACAGUCUAAAUUUGAGAAAAGAAAGUUACAACAAAGGUUUUGAGCAAGCUGCUAAGUGGAUUUAUUCAUGUUUGAGAAAUCAAAUAUAUGGUUAAUGAGCUCUUUAACUAGAAGCCAACACUAGGGAGGAGUAGACAGAAGUCACGGGGAGGGAGCCCCCGGACAUUUCAAAAGACUUUGCCCUGCAACAUCUCCUCCACAUUUAAGCUUUUAGGUUAUUGUAGCCACAUCACAAGCAUGUUACCUACCCAGAUAUUGUCUGCGCAUCAUUCCCAAAAGCUUCCCUGGGUCUUCAUAAUAUUAAUGAGAUUCUCCCCCAGGUUAGACCCCUUUGGCUUGAGUCAGAAACAGAAUUAAUCCGGGGGACAAUCCAGCAGCACCCAUCUCUGGGUUGCAGAAAUAUCUGAGGUGACCAGGCAGUGUUUGGAGUCCCCUCAGUUAGCUAACAAAGUGAGUUCACAGCUUCCAAGACCCCAGGCUUUCCAGGCUAAUAAAGAGCUGAGGUUAUAGGCUCUCCUUAUCAAACGCUCUUUGGCAGCUGCCAUAACCAUUCCAAGUCUAGUCCUAGAAUAGAAAUGACGCGGUUUCAGGAGCUGACAGAUGGAACUUUAAGCCUUCCUUCCUGCCACAUCUGAAGUUCUUUUUUAAAAAAAUAGAAAACCAUGACAAUAAACACUCCUUGAAUGCCCUGUGGAAAAGUGUACUCCUCAGAAUUCACUAAAGUGGGGUGAAGCAGUGGGUUGUGGUGCUGAGAAAACAUCUCUUCCCCUCGGCAGUAUAUUGGAAUCUCAUAGAAACUUCUGUGGCUGGGAAGCAAACAUGCUCUCUGCCCCAUUGCUCUUAUUCAUCUUUAGACCUGAUAAUACAGUUUGAACUUCAAGUUGCACUUUAAAUGGCAUGCAUUUUUA
rnacentral:lncRNA from 10 species